rnacentral:rRNA from 1 species
UACGGGGGGAGCAAGCGUUGUUCGGAUUUACUGGGCGUAAAGGGCGCGUAGGCGGCCUCCGCAAGUCAGUUGUGAAAUCUCCGAGCUUAACUCGGAAAGGUCAACUGAUACUGCGGGGCUAGAGUGCGGAAGGGGCAACUGGAAUUCUUGGUGUAGCGGUGAAAUGCGUAGAUAUCUGGAGGAACACCGGUGGCGAAGGCGGCAUCCUGGACCAACACUGACGCUGAGGAGCGAAAGCCAGGGGAGCAAACGGGG